rnacentral:rRNA from 1 species
UACAGAGGUCUCAAGCGUUGUUCGGAUUCAUUGGGCGUAAAGGGUGCGUAGGCGGCGCGGUAAGUCGGAUGUGAAAUCUCGGAGCUUAACUUCGAAACUGCAUUCGAUACUGCCGUGCUUGAGGACUGGAGAGGAGACUGGAAUUUACGGUGUAGCGGUGAAAUGCGUAGAUAUCGUAAGGAAGACCAGUGGCGAAGGCGGGUCUCUGGACAGUUCCUGACGCUGAGGCACGAAGGUCAGGGGAGAAAACGGG